rnacentral:snRNA from 1 species
CCCAGUCAGUGGACACAGAGUCUUUCGCCUUUUACUAAAGAUUACCGUGUGUCCGCUGGAAUAAGCAGCAUACCCACUCUUUUUGCAGGGUUCCUUCUCUCUGAGAAGU